UACGGGGGGGGCAAGCGUUGUUCGGAAUUACUGGGCGUAAAGGGCUCGUAGGCGGCCAACUAAGUCAGACGUGAAAUCCCUCGGCUUAACCGGGGAACUGCGUCUGAUACUGGAUGGCUUGAGAUUGGGAGAGGGAUGCGGAAUUCCAGGUGUAGCGGUGAAAUGCGUAGAUAUCUGGAGGAACACCGGUGGCGAAGGCGGCACCCUGGACCAACACUGACGCUGAGGAGCGAAAGCCAGGGGAGCAAACGGG
rnacentral:rRNA from 1 species